rnacentral:rRNA from 1 species
CACCGCGGUUAUACGAGAGACCCAAGUUGUUAGAUAUCGGCGUAAAGAGUGGUUAAGAUUCAUACAAGACUAAAGCCGAACGCCCUCAGAGCCGUUAUACGCACCCGAAGGUAAGAAGCCCAACCACGAAAGUGGCUUUAUAUUAUCCGAACCCACGAAAGCUAUGACA